UUCAGUUCUUCUCAAAAGUUGCAGAGCUCUUCCACCGUCACGAAAUAUGAAGACCUAUAUCAUUUACAGACCUCUUCAGUUCUUCUUAAACAUUCUUUGGGCUUGAUUUUCACCGAAUUCAAUAGCUCGUUCAAAGCGUCUUUAAUCUUCACCGAAUCAGAAGAUGAUGAUCCUAAGGGUUUUAAAAUUACAAAAGGCCUAACAAUUGAAGGGGUAAAUUACAUAUCUGGAAAAAGUUUUCGUCUGAGUCUGAAUCGCUGUUGGAAAUCAUACAGAUUUAAUCACUCAACAUUAUGCUAUUUCUUUUACUGGCGGCUAUCUACUUACCGAGAGGCUUUAACAUUUACAUCUGAAUCUACAAUCCCUCAAUCUCUUUCUCUCACACACAACAUCUGCAAUUAAUUAGUCUCUUCAUGUUUGUCAUUCCAUGAGUUAGAGAAAAGGACAAACUCAAAGAAAGGCAGAGCCAAGAAGAUGAGGACGGUGAAAGGGAUGAGGAUCCUGCUAUUCGCUUGUACAAGGACACACAUUUUAAGGAACAAGGUGGAUGGGCACACGAGAAAGCUAAAAGGAAUUUUGAUGCAAGAAAGAAAAGUCUGUGCUGGUAUCAUAAAUGAUGCUGAGAUAGUGCAAAACCAACUGAGCAUAAGAAAGGGAUAUUGCACCAACAACAGUCUCCAUCAGAUUCCCAACAGCAACCGCCACCAACAAGGUGGCAAUAUUAGCAGCCGCCACCAAAAUGGUGGCAAUAUCAACACCCCCAGCAAGCACCACCACAACCACCAACAGAAUGACUAACGCGAUAAAGAUGGUUUUUGUUUAUCUUUUUUGGGCUGCAUUUUGAUGACUUUGCAUCUGGUUUGAAGUUUUUGUUUAGAAAACUGGAAAUUUUAUGGAUCUUAAAUGUUAUUGUGGAUUUAUUUUGUUUGAUGGCUAGUAAUAUCUUUUUGAAUGUUUGAGGAUC